ensembl:snRNA U4 U4 spliceosomal RNA
AGCUUUGUACAGUGACAGGAUUAUAGCCAAUGAGGCAUGAUUAUUGCUAAUUGAAAACUUUUCCCAGUACCCUGGCAUUGGCACUUUUUGACAAUCUCUAUGGAGA